rnacentral:rRNA from 1 species
GACGAACGCUGGCGGCGUGCUUAACACAUGCAAGUCGAACGGAAAGGCCCUGCUUUUGUGGGGUGCUCGAGUGGCGAACGGGUGAGUAACACGUGAGUAACCUGCCCUUGACUUUGGGAUAACUUCAGGAAACUGGGGCUAAUACCGGAUAGGAGCUCCUGCUGCAUGGUGGGGGUUGGAAAGUUUCGGCGGUUGGGGAUGGACUCGCGGCUUAUCAGCUUGUUGGUGGGGUAGUGGCUUACCAAGGCUUUGACGGGUAGCCGGCCUGAGAGGGUGACCGGCCACAUUGGGACUGCGAUACGGCCCAGACUCGUACGGGAGGCAGCAGUGGGGAAUAUUGCACAAUGGGCGGAAGCCUGAUGCGGCAACGCCGCGUGCGGGAUGACGGCCUUCGGGUUGUAAACCGCUUUCGCCUGUGACGAAGCGUGAGUGACGGUAAUGGGUAAAGAAGCACCGGCUAACUACGUG